rnacentral:rRNA from 1 species
CCUUAACUGACGCUAAAGCUCGAAAGUGCGGGUAUCGAACAGGAUCAGAUACCCUGGUAGUCCGCACGGUAAACGAUGGAUGCCCGCUGUUUGCGAUAUAUUGUAAGCGGCCAAGCGAAAGCGUUAAGCAUCCCACCUGGGGAGUACGCCGGCAACGGUGAAACUCAAAGGAAUUGACGGGGGCCCGCACAAGCGGAGGAACAUGUGGUUUAAUUCGAUGAUACGCGAGGAACCUUACCCGGGCUUGAACUGCCGGCGGACGAUACAGAGAUGUUGAGGCCCUUCGGGGCGCCGGUGGAGGUGCUGCAUGGUUGUCGUCAGCUCGUGCCGUGAGGUGUCGGCUUAAGUGCCAUAACGAGCGCAACCCCUUUCGUCAGUUGCCAUCAGGUAGAGCUGGGCACUCUGGCGACACUGCCACCGUAAGGUGUGAGGAAGGUGGGGAUGACGUCAAAUCAGCACGGCCCUUACGUCCGGGGCUACACACGUGUUACAAUGGGAGGUACAGAGAGCCGGCCGCUUGCAAAUGCGGUCCAAUCAAAAAAGCCUUCCUCAGUUCGGAUUGGGGUCUGCAACCCGACCCCAUGAAGCUGGAUUCGCUAGU